ensembl:processed_transcript kcnip3a Kv channel interacting protein 3a, calsenilin
AUACAAGAGGAUGGCAAGGUGGUGGACGGCACUCUGCUGGGUGAUGCCAAUGGGGUGGAGCCUGGCAGAGGCCGACAGAAGGAAAGUGGCAAAUGGCAGAGACCUCGCUUCACACGGAAAGCCCUCAUGAGGUGCUGUCUGGUCAAAUGGAUCAUCGCCAGCACUGGACCCAAGGAGCAAGAAUACAGCAGUGACAGUGACCUUGAGCUGUCCACGGUGCGGCAUCAGCCCGAGGGUCUGGAGCAGUUGCAGGCACAGACCAAAUUCACCAAGAAGGAGCUGCAGUCCCUAUAUAGGGGCUUUAAAAAUGAGUGCCCAAGUGGUUUGGUUGAUGAGGAAACUUUCAAGACCAUCUACUCCCAAUUCUUUCCCCAAGGCGAUGCCACCACAUACGCCCAUUUUCUGUUUAACGCAUUUGAUCUUGACAGAAAUGGCUCGAUCCGUUUUGAGGAUUUUGUGAUUGGUCUGUCCGUGUUGCUGAGAGGAACAGUCACUGAAAAGCUCAACUGGGCUUUCAACCUUUACGACAUCAACAAGGAUGGAUACAUCACUAAAGAGGAGAUGCUGUUAAUUAUGAAGUCAAUCUACGACAUGAUGGGAAGGUACACAUACCCCAGUGUGCGAGACGAAGCUCCAUCUGAACAUGUGGAAAAGUUCUUUCAGAAAAUGGACAGAAAUCGAGACGGUGUGGUCACUAUUGAAGAGUUUAUUGAGACCUGUCAGAAAGAUGAAAACAUCAUGAACUCCAUGCAGCUCUUUGAAAAUGUGAUAUAG